GGGGCCCAGGCCUGGGUUGCCAUGGAUACCGUGUCCCUGGAGCAUCAGAUCCAGAGCGUGCAACGCCACAUCAGCUUCCUGAAAAAGGAGCAGAUGGCCCUGCUGCGAGACCUGCACCUGGAGAUCCUGAGGCUGCAGAAACGCUGCUCAGAACUGACCCAUGACCUGGAAAUGAGAGAGGCCCAAUCUCACCAGCAAGAGGCGGCGUCCCGGGAGCUGGAGAGCAAGUGCCGCGCGCUGGAGUCGCAGCUGGAGG
rnacentral:lncRNA from 1 species